rnacentral:tRNA from 1 species
UGAUAAAUAGUUUAAAUAAAACAAUAUAUUUUCACUAUAUAAAUUAAGUAAGCCUUAUUUAACUU